CGCCGCCCGUCCCUUCUGAAGCACCGAUUCCUCGGGGAGGAGGAGGCGUCAGGGGAGGCGGCGGAGGUAGCCGGCGCGGGGCGCUCGCGGGGCAGGGGGCGCGGGGUGCCUCCUUGGACUCGGCUCUCCCCGCCCCGGGGCGCCCCUAGACCGCCGCCUGCCUCCGCGGGCAGCUUUGUUCUUCUUUCUUCCAACUACCUGUCUGAGCCGCGGGCCCCAGAGGCCCCAAAGAGAGGCCCGGAGGGUCUCCCCAGCAGCAUCCGAGGGGCGCUCUCGGGGAGCUAGGGGCCAGAGUCCGCGUUCCCUCCGUGCCUGCCUCCCUCCCCUCGUGCCUCGGUCUUUUGUUGCCUCUACUCCUCGGCACGGCACAGCCUGGGCUGUUUUCCCCCUCCCGCUUGGGAGUUUGCAGUGUGGACGCUCGGCGAGCACAGUUGGGAAGCCAGAUACCCACAUUAUCUCGUAUCACAUCACUGAGCUCUGUGGCCCAGUUCUGACUACAUGUUGGAAGCACAAGUCUGCAGGGGAUGGCUUCUGAGAAAGCUUUUAUUUAUUUAUUUAAAUCUAAAUAAAAGGAUACCUUCUA